rnacentral:rRNA from 1 species
UACCAGCACCCCGAGUGGUCGGGACGAUUAUUGGGCCUAAAGCAUCCGUAGCCGGUUCUACAAGUCUUCCGUUAAAUCCACCUGCUCAACAGUUGGGCUGCGGAGGAUACUAUAGAGCUAGGAGGCGGGAGAGGCAAGCGGUACUUAGUGGGUAGGGGUAAAAUCCGUUGAUCCAUUAAAGACCACCAGUGGCGAAGGCGGCUUGCCAGAACGCACUCGACGGUGAGGGAUGAAAGCUGGGGGAGCAAACCGG